rnacentral:lncRNA from 1 species
AGCUACACAGGUGCAGUUGUAGCGAGUACAAGUUCUUCUUGUGCUUAGGGUAUUUAUUUUUCCAGGGCGUACUAAGCUUAUUUUUCCUGUUAACCCUAAAUCCCUAUGAUUUUAAAACCCUUUUACUAUCACUGGGGCUACCCAGGGAAGAGCCAUGGAUGAGGAUCUGCAGGACAACGCAGGCUCAGCCCUGCUCCAACAUGGGAUCCCAUGGGAUCCCAAGGGACAGGGCACGCUGGGAUUUGCCCCUGCAGCUCCCCAGUGUGUCCAGAGAGACUGCAAGGAGACAGUGACCUCUGUCAGCGGGACCCUCUGAGUGGGACAACCACUCCUGGGGUGGCUGUGCCAGCUCCCCCAUGAACCUCCAGCCCUGGGAACAUGGAGCAAGCGGAAACCAUAACUUGGCCAAUACUGCCUGUGCCCGAAGCAAAUGGAAAGAGAACUGGGGUGGGAAAAAUCAAGGUUGUUUAUUUACAGAAGAACAGCAAUGAAAACACAGAACACAUUUAGAUUUGUAAGAAUAUUUGUAAUAACAAAAAUUUAAAGAAUAUAUAUACCUAAGAACAUAUCUAACAACAAUAUUUGAAAUGUAUUUACAGAAGACAAAACAAAGCUCUAAAACCUAUAUCCUAAAGGCAACAAGAAACUUUAAAAACUAUGUACAAAAAGGCGCCAUCUCUGUCCAGGAUCUCCAUCAGUCCGGGAAGAAAAGCAGGUGCCAUGGUCACUGCAGUCAGGCACAGAGGGCUCUUCCGUGUCUCCCCAGGCUGGCACAGCGGGACUCUGCUGCCAGAGCUGAGGCUGGCUGGGUCUGGGGGCUGGGCCCCAGGCACUGCCAUGGGGCUUGUGUGGCCCAAAGCAAGCACAGGACAGGCUGGGCACGGCCACCAGAAUCCAAUGCACUGGGUACCACGGGCCUGAGCAGAGACCACCCAGCCCAGCCCCGCCCCAGCCUGGCUGCAGGGAACCCACUGUGACUGUGGGGACAACAUGCCUGUCCUGCUGUUGGCAUCGCUCUUCAUCCCAGGACCAUGGCCUCCUCUUCAUCUUUUUCAUCAACAUCCAUGUCCUCGGUGUACUCUUCCAUGUCCACGUCCAUCUCCUCUUCCACAUCCACAUCCACAUCCACCUCCAUCUCUUCCUCUCCAGUCUGCUCUCCAUCCACCUCCAUCUCCUCCUCCGUAUCAAUUUCUGUGUCCACCUCCAUCUCUUCCUCUCCUGUCUUUUCUCCCUCCACUUCCAUCUUCUCCUCUCUAUCAGUCUGUCUGUCCACCUCCAUCUUGUCCUCUCUGCCUGCCACAGCCUGCAGAGGUAGCAAAACCUCAGAGUGGGGUCCCUGUCCCACCCCAUCCCCCCAAAACUCCAGCCCACCCGGGCAGCUGGGGGGAUCCAUCUCCAUGGAAUGGCACCCUACCUUCCUCAGGAGAAAUGCCAGCAUCCUGCAGGGAUGGAUGACACAAUCCAGGCCUUAGGCAGCUUUGGAGACUGAUGAGAUGAGGUUUCGGGGCAGAAACAAGAAGGGUGACAGGAGCAGCAAGAGCAGCGUGCAGCGUGUGCUGAGCCCAGGGCCAACGGUUGUGUUGUGCUGCUUGCUGGGUGCUGGUAGUUCCAGAUGGGACAUGGAUUGUGACAUGACCACUGAGCUAGAGAGCCUUUGGUUCCAUGCUUAGCAACGUUCCCCCAGAGCAUGGUGCUCAGAGCCCUGUUCCCAAGGAUGGGGCAUCCACAGCCUGGGCCAGUGCCUCAGCACCCUCAGUGGCAAAGAGCAGCUUCCUUAGAUCCAGCUUCAAUCAGCCUCAUGCGGCUGAAAGCCGUCCCCCCUUGUCCUGUUGCCACAGGCCCUGUGCAACACUCUGUCCCAGUCUUUCUUGUGGCACCCUUGCAGUGCUGCAGAGCUGCAGUGAGGCCUCCCCAGGGUCUCCUCUUU